UACAGAGGGGGCAAGCGUUAUUCGGAAUUAUUGGGCGUAAAGGGCGCGUAGGCGGCCUGGCAAGUGGAAGGUGAAAUCCCUCGGCUUAACCGAGGAACUGCCCUCCAAACUGCUUGGCUUGAGUCCGGGAGAGGUGAGUGGAAUUCCCAGUGUAGCGGUGAAAUGCGUAGAUAUUGGGAGGAACACCAGUGGCGAAGGCGGCUCACUGGACCGGAACUGACGCUGAGGCGCGAAAGCGUGGGUAUCAAACAGG
rnacentral:rRNA from 1 species